rnacentral:rRNA from 1 species
ACAGCACUCUGCAAACACGAAAGUGGACGUAUAGGGUGUGACGCCUGCCCGGUGCUGGAAGAUUAAAUGAUGGGGUGCAAGCUCUUGAUUGAAGUCCCAGUAAACGGCGGCCGUAACUAUAACGGUCCUAAGGUAGCGAAAUUCCUUGUCGGGUAAGUUCCGACCUGCACGAAUGGCGUAACGAUGGCCACACUGUCUCCUCCUGAGACUCAGCGAAGUUGAAAUGUUUGUGAUGAUGCAAUCUCCCCGCGGAAAGACGGAAAGACCCCAUGAACCUUUACUGUAGCUUUGUAUUGGACUUUGAACAGAUCUGUGUAGGAUAGGUGGGAGGCUUUGAAGCGGUGCCGCUAGGUAUCGUGGAGCCAACGUUGAAAUACCACCCUGGUGUGUUUGAGGUUCUAACCUAGGUCCAUUAUCUGGAUCGGGGACAGUGCAUGGUAGGCAGUUUGACUGGGGCGGUCUCCUCCCAAAGCGUAACGGAGGAGUUCGAAGGUACGCUAGUUACGGUCGGACAUCGUGACGAUAGUGCAAUGGCAUAAGCGUGCUUAACUGCGAGACUGACAAGUCGAGCAGAUGCGAAAGCAGGACAUAGUGAUCCGGUGGUUCUGUAUGGAAGGGCCAUCGCUCAACGGAUAAAAGGUACUCUGGGGAUAACAGGCUGAUACCGCCCAAGAGUUCAUAUCGACGGCGGUGUUUGGCACCUCGAUGUCGGCUCAUCUCAUCCUGGGGCUGUAGCCGGUCCCAAGGGUAUGGCUGUUCGCCAUUUAAAGAGGUACGUGAGCUGGGUUUAAAACGUCGUGAGACAGUUUGGUCCCUAUCUUCCGUGGGCGCUGCAGAUUUGAGGAAGCCUGCUCCUAGUACGAGAGGACCGGAGUGGACACACCUCUGGUGUAUCGGUUGUCACGCCAGUGGCAUUGCCGAGUAGCUAAGUGUGGAAGAGAUAACCGCUGAAAGCAUCUAAGCGGGAAACUCGUUUCAAGAUGAGAUCUGCCGGGGCCUUGAGCCCCCUAAAGAGUCGUUCAAGACCAGGACGUUGAUAGGCUGGGUGUGGAAGCGCAGUAAUGCGUUAAGCUAACCAGUACUAAUUGCUCGUGCGGCUUGACCCU